UUAUACCCCUCAGAUGAGCCUGGAGAUGUGAUUCCUUCACAUCCGACGCUCCUUUAGGUCCAGGUAAAGAAUCUUCAACUGUCAGCAUGCAGCUGGCUGGUCUUUGUGUGAUUACCAGACCAUUUAUCAAGAAUAACUGGAAAAUAGUGUGUAUAUCCAUAUGACCUUCUGGUGACCAAGUAAUCAGAACAAGAGCGCAUUGGUGACGUGGUUUCAGGUGGAAAGCUGUUGCCACAAAUAGGUCUGUGCUCAGGGAAUGCAGCACGGGCCAGAGGGCAGCGUUUUUUGAAGACCAAGGGAAGGCAAACAAGUGGAUCUCAAAGAACAGAGAUGUAACUUGGUGAAUCCACAUUGACUACUCCUGAUACCUUCUUUUCUUCCAAUUGCUUGAAGAUGACAUCCAGAGCAAAACACCAUUCUAGGAAUGGAGGAAUUUACUGCUCCGGAAAUGCUAGUUAUCAACCCUAAUGCAGCCUUAACAGCCAGUCAGUGAAAGCUUUUGAUUCUGUUUGCUACUAUGCAAGACAACAUGACCAAAUUUGCCGGUGAACAAAAAUUCUAUACAAGCCUGCAGGUCUCCUUGCUGCCCAGAUCUUGCUCUGAGCCCAGGUCCAUAUUGCGACACAGAACCAUGAGAUCAUUAAGGUUGGAAAGGAGAAGACCACUGUGACCACCAAGUCCAACCGCCAACUCAUCACCACCGCCAUGCCCACGCAUGGAAUCGUGAAGGUUGGAAAAGACCUCGGAGAUCACCAAGUCCAAAUCCAACCCCUCCCCACGGCACCCAUGAAAACACGUCCCUCAAGGUGUGGAUGGCCACAGCACUUCAACCAGCACCAAAGCUACUCCGUCCCAUCGUGUUGGAUGGGCCGUGGAGGACAGCUCUUCCCCUUGCAGGACCUGGAGAGGGCAGCAGAGAAAAGCGCAGCAGCCCCGGCUGCGAGCGCAUGGAGCAGGAGCAGCUGCGUUGCAGCAUCCAAACACACUUCUCGUAUUUGGCUGCACAGCAGCUGGACAGACAAUGUUCUCCAAACAAAAUUUUCCUCAAUUACAAGUUCAAGGAAGGGCUUGUGCUUUAGACCAAAGCCUGAAAAACCUUCAGCUGGCACAGGUCAGUGCUCCAAAUUCCCAGCAGUUCAUCCUUUCUCUAAGCACUGCUGUCCAACUCUGCUCCGUGCAGAACCGUGCAGCCCAAAGCUGCCUUGCACAGAGGGGUCUCCAGAAGGCAGCUUUAGAGCAAAUUCCUUGGAAUAAAUGGGAUUGCAAAUAUACAGCCUAAUGUAUGUACACACGUGAUGAGCAAAGCUCUUCUAACAGUGUAAGUAGCGCAGAGCGGCCGGGGAUGAAUUUUGCUGGUUUCAUUUCAGCCGUGGAGCUGAGUGGGAGAUAUGUGGGGUAGGAUGGGGCAAUGCUGCCAACCAGGGCUGGGCCAUAUUUGGGAAAUGCACGGGGGGAAAUGGCUUUCGGAGAAAGUGGCCUGUUUUGAGUGGAGGUGGCUGAUUUUCCAUUUGCAUUUCCAUUUCCAUUCCGCAUUUGCUUUCCCUCAAAUAGCUUUCCUCAUACAAAAAUGUCAGUCACCCCACCAGGGAUGUUGGAUGCAAGAAGCACGUUGUCCCCUGAAAAAUCCCACUUUCAGAGGCUGGAAAGCAGCCAGGGCUGGGGCAGGAUCCCUAAAAACCAGCAUGGCUUUGGCACCCCUUGGUCACUGCUCCUCAGCAAGCCAGCCAGGCAAGGGAAUGGAGUCCCAUCCAACACUGUGGAAAUCAGACUGGUCCCAGCUGGGUUUGGGCUGGAGGUCGGAAAUGGAGCCAAGUUUCCCAGCCCAUGGCUUGAUGGCAUGGAAACCGAAACGCCCCAGCAGGUUCAGAGCAGGCUCUUCCACCUAAAGGAUGAAAAGAAGGGGGAAAAAAAUAGAGAGAAAGAGCUGCUGUCAUUGAAUAAUUGAUGAGUUUCAGACCAAUCAAUGCGACAGCAGAGCAGGGCUAAUUAAAGGUUUCUAAGGAAUCCCUGUAGUAAUUUACUUGAAUGUAAGAAGUUUAUUCUCUCUUUCCCCUUUUUUCCUCUCCCCAUUCUCAGGAAUUCCAGUUUUAGGCUUCGACGGUCUCUAACCACCGCUCACUUUUCCCCUCCAGGGGAGGGUUUGCUAUGGAAAUAUGCAAUUAAUAUUGCAGCGAUCAUAAUUGCUAAUUAUUAAAACAAUGCUACCCCCUUUUUCAUGGCCUACUUUCUUGCUCAAAAUCAUUUAAAUAACAGG
ensembl:lncRNA